AUCUCAAUAGUGGCAAUGGCAGUAUCGUAACCAAUGAGGUUUAUCCAAGGUGCGAUUAUUGCUCUUUGAAAACUUUUCUCAAUACUCCGCCUGGACGACUUGAAAUAAAGUCGGCCAAGGCAAUUUCUGUAAGCAAAAAUAUUCU